GCCUACGGGACGCAGCAGUGGGGAAUAUUGCGCAAUGGGGGAAACCCUGAUGCAGCGACGCCGCGUGAGCGAAGAAGUAUUUCGGUAUGUAAAGCUCUAUCAGCAGGGAAGAAAAAUGACGGUACCUGAGUAAGAAGCACCGGCUAAAUACGUGCCAGCAGCCGCGGUAAUACGUAUGGUGCAAGCGUUAUCCGGAUUUACUGGGUGUAAAGGGAGCGCAGGCGGUGCGGCAAGUCUGAUGUGAAAGCCCGGGGCUCAGCCCCGGGACUGCUUUGGAAACUGUAUGGCUGGAGUGCUGGAGAGGG
rnacentral:rRNA from 1 species